AUUGAACGCUGGCGGCAUGCCUUACACAUGCAAGUCGAACGGCAGCACGGGUGCUUGCACCUGGUGGCGAGUGGCGAACGGGUGAGUAAUACAUCGGAACAUGUCCUGUAGUGGGGGAUAGCCGGGCGAAAGCCGGAUUAAUACCGCAUACGAUCUACGGAUGAAAGCGGGGGACCUUCGGGUCUCGCGAUAUAGGGUUGGCCGAUGGCUGAUUAGCUAGUUGGUGGGGUAAAGGCCUACCAAGGCGACGAUCAGUAGCUGGUCUGAGAGGACGACCAGCCACACUGGGACUGAGACACGGCCCAGACUCCUACGGGAGGCAGCAGUGGGGAAUUUUGGACAAUGGGCGAAAGCCUGAUCCAGCAAUGCCGCGUGUGUGAAGAAGGCCUUCGGGUUGUAAAGCACUUUUGUCCGGAAAGAAAUCCUUGGCCCUAAUACGGUCGGGGGAUGACGGUACCGGAAGAAUAAGCACCGGCUAACUACGUG
rnacentral:rRNA from 1 species